rnacentral:rRNA from 1 species
UUGGAGGGCAAGUCUGGUGCCAGCAGCCGCGGUAAUUCCAGCUCCAAUAGCGUAUAUUAAAGUUGUUGCAGUUAAAAAGCUCGUAGUUGAAUUUCGGGAUCAAUUUGUUGGUCGUGCCUCGGUACGUACUGGCAUUAUUGGUUUCUACCUUCUGAAGAACCUUGAUGUCAUUAAUUUGGUGUCUUGGGGAAUCAGGACUGUUACUUUGAAAAAAUUAGAGUGUUUAAAGCAGGCAUACGCUUGAAUACAUUAGCAUGGAAUAAUGAAAUAGGACGUUUGAUUCUAUUUUGUUGGUUUCUAGGAUCGACGUAAUGAUUAAUAGGGAUAGUUGGG